UGGGUCUCUCCGGGUUCGUGCCCUGAAGAAAAGGGUGCCGCGCCCUCUGCCGCCGCUGCCUCGGAGCCGGUGCGGGCGUCCGAUCCCCGCGCUCACCCGCCCGGGGGGAGGCCAGUGCCCGCUGACGGCCAGAACGGAGGGGCGUCAAAGCCCCCGAUUUUCUCGGCCCCGGCAUUCAAUCUCCCGGAGCCUCUCGUCUGUUGCCUACACGGUGCUCUUAUGACCGUAAUUCUUUCCCUUUAAUAACCUUAAUGGGAAGUGUUGACCUCCGUUUACCGAUCUGCUGGCGGAGCAUUAGAUUCGGGGGUGCUCCAGGACCCGGAGUCUGGCGUGCGGUCCCCGCUCUGCACUAAAGCCUCCCCCUUGCUCUUCCCGGCCCAGGCCAGGGGCUCGGUUCUUGGAAGCCGUGACAGCCCUCCCUCGGCCGGCCUUUGCACCAGCCAGCGCCCCGUCUUUCCAGGGCCUGGUGUCCCCGCACUGUGGCCGGAGGGUGAGGCUGCCCCCCGGGAGGUCAUGUGACUGCUGUCCCAUGAAUGAGAAAUGUCCUCAGGGAGAUCCUGGAUUAUGAGAUGCCAGAUGGGUCUGCGGGUGCAGAGGUGCCAUGGGAGACGGCAGUCAUCUUCAUGUCAGGCUCCAUAUCAGCCGGGCGCUAGACCAUGGGGUCCUGAGGUGUGUUCUGUAGGAGGCAGAAACCUAUGGCGCUGCCUUCACUCUGUAGACUCAGAAGAUGGAACAUGGUGGCCCUGAAAGGCAUGUCUUAGCUGAGGCCAGCCUUAGAUCACAGACUGUUGCAGAAAGUCCCACGGCCAUGGACCCAUGGACCAGUGACCCUCGGGUGAUUUGGGAGCUGGUUUCCUGAUAUUUCUCACCAAAAUUCUCUCGGUGUUUGUGGAGACCAGAGGGGCCGAGAAUUGAGAGGCAGGUCCCCACAUGAAGCCUCACCACAGCUCUCCCCUCUGCCCGCUCAGAGCGUCACCGACAGCUCCACUCCGCACAAGAGAUCAGAGGGAAGCUUGGGGUCCACUUCAACCAGCUCUGCGUCUUGACAGCAGCACCCUUAGAGGGCCAGCCCGUGUCCCUCAGCCAUGCCCGGAAUGACUUUAGUAGCCAAAUUCUCUUGAAUUUGUAGCUGCUCAUCACUUUCCUCCACCACCCAUUUAAUAAACCUGACCACCGUGCUCUGUCCGCCUUUUAAAUCAGCAUCAAGCCACGUGCCAGCAAGGCUGGGCCUGGAGAACGUGGGUCACGAGCCAGAUCUCGUUUUCAGCCCUGGCGUGUUCUCGCUGUCCUGAGGCGUGGCACGUGGGUGGUUGUUUGAAGUGUUCAGUUAGGACUAGGAGGUGAACAAGGGGUGGCACUUGGUUCAGAUUUAGGGCCCAUGACAGUUGAGGUGUUGAGGAGCAGUCGGGCCAAGGCUUUGGCUGGUGACAGGGUGGACUAGUGAGACAAUGCUGAUGUCAGAGAAAGUGGGGUGUCCUGGAGUUCUGGGGCUUGGCUCAUAAAAAAUUGCCUGCUGUGUGACCAACUGUCCAAGUUUGCCUGGGAUUGAGGGGUUUCCCAGGACGAGGGACUUAAAUUGCUAAAAUCAGGUAAGUCCCAGGCAAACGGACGAGUUGGUUGACUUAUCUGGGUGUAAAAUAAAGGUGGGAGCAGGGUGAAUGGAGCAGCUGCUGUUGGACAACACCCUGGUGUCCUCAGGGCCAGGCUUUUUGGAGAUCUUUGGUUUAAAAUAAAAAACUGCCACAAUGUGA